rnacentral:rRNA from 1 species
UGGGGAAUCUUGCGCAAUGGGCGAAAACCUGACGCAGCCAUGCCGCGUGAAUGAUGAAGGUCUUAGGAUUGUAAAAUUCUUUCAGCAGGGACGAUAAUGACGGUACCUGCAGAAGAAGCCCCGGCUAACUUCGUGCCAGCAGCCGCGGUAAUACGAAGGGGGCUAGCGUUGCUCGGAAUUACUGGGCGUAAAGGGAGCGUAGGCGGGUUAUCAAGUUGGAGGUGAAAGCCCAGGGCUCAACCUUGGAAUUGCCUUCAAAACUGAUAGCCUAGAGUAUGAUAGAGGUAAGUGGAACUCCGAGUGUAGAGGUGAAAUUCGUAGAUAUUCGGAAGAACACCAGUGGCGAAGGCGACUUACUGGAUCAUGACUGACGCUGAGGCUCGAAAGCGUGGGGAGCAAACAG